ACAUUACCUAUCUAUAAUGACAGGCAGAUAGAGACAGGAAAGGUGUGCAGUGAACAUUACCCAUCUAUAAUGACAGGCAGGUAGAGACAGGAAAAGUGUGCAGUGAACAUUACCCAUCUAUAAUGACAGGCAGGUAGAGACAGGAAAGGUGUGCAGUGAACAUUACCCAUCUAUAAUGACAGGCAGGUAGAGACAGGAAAGGUGUGCAGUGAACAGUACCUAUCUAUAAUGACAGGCAGGUAGAGACAGGAAAGGUGUGCAGUGAACAUUACCCAUCUAUAAUGACAGGCAGGUAGAGACAGGAAAGGUGUGCAGUGAACAGUACCUAUCUAUAAUGACAGGCAGGUAGAGACAGGAAAGGUGUGCAGUGAACAGUACCCAUCUAUAAUGACAGGCAGGUAGAGACAGGAAAGGUGUGCAGUGAACAGUACCUAUCUAUAAUGACAGGCAGGUAGAGACAGGAAAGGUGUGCAGUGAACAGUACCUAUCUAUAAUGACAGGCAGGUAGAGACAGGAAAGGUGUGCAGUGAACAGUACCUAUCUAUAAUGACAGGCAGGUAGAGACAGGAAAGGUGUGCAGUGAACAUUACCCAUCUAUAAUGACAGGCAGGUAGAGACAGGAAAGGUGUGCAGUGAACAUUACCCAUCUAUAAUGACAGGCAGGUAGAGACAGGAAAGGUGUGCAGUGAACAGUACCUAUCUAUAAUGACAGGCAGGUAGAGACAGGAAAGGUGUGCAGUGAACAUUACCCAUCUAUAAUGACAGGCAGGUAGAGACAGGAAAGGUGUGCAGUGAACAUUACCCAUCUAUAAUGACAGGCAGGUAGAGACAGGAAAGGUGUGCAGUGAACAGUACCCAUCUAUAAUGACAGGCAGGUAGAGACAGGAAAGGUGUGCAGUGAACAGUACCUAUCUAUAAUGACAGGCAGGUAGAGACAGGAAAGGUGUGCAGUGAACAGUACCUAUCUAUAAUGACAGGCAGGUAGAGACAGGAAAGGUGUGCAGUGAACAGUACCCAUCUAUAAUGACAGGCAGGUAGAGACAGGAAAGGUGUGCAGUGAACAGUACCUAUCUAUAAUGACAGGCAGGUAGAGACAGGAAAGGUGUGCAGUGAACAUUACCCAUCUAUAAUGACAGGCAGGUAGAGACAGGAAAGGUGUGCAGUGAACAGUACCUAUCUAUAAUGACAGGCAGGUAGAGACAGGAAAGGUGUGCAGUGAACAGUACCUAUCUAUAAUGACAGGCAGGUAGAGACAGGAAAGGUGUGCAGUGAACAGUACCCAUCUAUAAUGACAGGCAGGUAGAGACAGGAAAGGUGUGCAGUGAACAGUACCUAUCUAUAAUGACAGGCAGGUAGAGAGAGGAAAGGUGUGCAGUGAACAGUACCCAUCUAUAAUGACAGGCAGGUAGAGACAGGAAAGGUGUGCAGUGAACAUUACCUACCUAUAAUGAC